rnacentral:rRNA from 1 species
UACGUAGGGUGCGAGCGUUAAUCGGAAUUACUGGGCGUAAAGCGUGCGCAGGCGGUUUUGUAAGACAGAUGUGAAAUCCCCGGGCUUAACCUGGGAACUGCGUUUGUGACUGCAAGGCUAGAGUACGGCAGAGGGGGGUGGAAUUCCACGUGUAGCAGUGAAAUGCGUAGAUAUGUGGAGGAACACCGAUGGCGAAGGCAGCCCCCUGGGCCUGUACUGACGCUCAUGCACGAAAGCGUGGGGAGCAAACAGGAUUAGAUACCCCCGUAGUCC